AAAAAUACCAUCCCAUUCGGAUUGCAGUCUGCAACUCGACUGCAUGAAGCUGGAAUCGCUAGUAAUCGCGGAUCAGAAUGCCGCGGUGAAUACGUUCCCGGGUCUUGUACACACCGCCCGUCACACCAUGGGAGUCGGAUAUGCCCGAAGUCAGUGACCCAACCGCAAGGAGGGAGCUGCCGAAGGUGGAGCCGAUGACUGGGGUGAAGUCGUAACAAGGUAAC
rnacentral:rRNA from 1 species